AGCGACCCGCAUGAUCCUGCCUUCCCCAAUCCCAUCUCUUCCACCUACAGAGCGCCGCCACCUCCUGCCACGCCCCACCCCGCCUCACCGUGCACCGCCAGCCGCCGCUGCGCGCCCCUCCAGCAUGCCUACCCCUACCCCAAGUGCCCCCACACCCGCGAGCUUCCACCGCCGGUGACCCGACCCAAUUCGCUCGGGUGUUGGUGGCACUGACAACACAAGCAGCUUCCAUGAAGCUGCGCGGCCACCCCUAGCCCCCUUCACCUCCUUCCUCCCACUUGCACACAUGAGAAGGAAUUGGAUCAGAGUCGGUCCCUCAAUCUAAACCAAGAGGAGUGCCCAUUGAACAUGAUGGUGUGCAGAUCGCGGAGAGUUGCAUCGGCAAGCGUCGACUCAUAUCUUGAAGUGCCAUGGAGGAAAGCUUGUGAGGAUGCAGGGGCCGUUGGUGGUGUUGGACUUAUCGUAGGUUGAACCACAUCUUGCUUUUCUUUUGUCAAUCUGCUCUCUUGUCUCUCUGAGUCAUAAAUUGGCCGUCCGUGCAUCUGUUCUUCUUAAUAGAUAUAUAACAUUGAUUUGAUUGGUAAGACUGAUGGUAGAUUGCUACAAUUUAUUGAAUUGAUCUAAUUUAUUUUGGGAUUGUUAACUUUGUGAGUUUUUUUACAUACAAUCUAUGGGUACCUCAUGGAGAACAGUCGGAGCAAACUAUUCUCAUCAGGUGAGCUUAUAAGUUAAGAAACCCAUUAUCUAAAUGUCAUUUGUAAACACGCCGCUCCUUAAGCUAUUCCUAAACCAAUUUUAUAUCGACAGCUUCAGUAAUGUGUCUGAUUCCAUUUGGCCUAUAUGGCAGGGUUAACAUCAUCAAUGGCUUUCCCCAGUCGUCAGUUAUGGCUGAUGCCUUUCCUUGAUUUUCUUUGUUGCCGUUCCGCCAUAAUCUCCUGUUCAACGAAGUUCCUUGCCAAACUGGCAUGUCCUUACCAUUGUAGGUUAGAGAACUGACUUCUCAUAAACUUUUUUCGUACCCCUUUUCAGCCAGAUAGUUAUAUUGUGAAACACUUGACAAAGAAGCUCUCUGUCAACUAUUAAAGCAUUGACAAUUUCUGUCCUAAAGCUGAAUGUUUUUGUGGGCAAUUGGUUCAUAAAAUCAAUGGCAAGUGAGAACUACUAAAGCAUUGAGUGUCUCUUUGCCUCCCUCACGGGCUACACACGCUGCGACCUGCUCGGAGGCAACAUGUUGGUCUUCCAAGGAGCCGCUGCCGAGCACACCGGUGUUUCCGGGUUGUACCAGGCCCUGUUAUAAUCUGAGUGAUGUUGGCACAGCCUGACCUUGCUGAUGCGACCCGAGGAGUUUUUUCUAGCAAUCACGCACAUCUGAAGACUUACUGGACUACUUUCCGAACUGACCGGACGCGACAAGAUAGGCAAGUACAAAAGAGCUAGCUGAUUGAUUCACCAUACAAUUAUACUAUUAUUUGAAGGCACAAUUAGCUACUGGUGAAAGUGUUGAUGUAUUGGUAUUGGCAGGUUUGCCAGUACUUGAAAUGCCAUUUUAAGUAGCGGUAUUAGAGAUACGAAGUUCUAACUCUGUUCUUGUGGUAAUCUAAAAAUAAUUUGGUGAUUUCAAGUAGUUCUGAGAGUAUAAGUCUUAUUCCUCUUUUUUAAUAAUGUAAGAGCAUAGAUCUCAUCGACCAGGAAAUAAUCCAUCAGGUAAGCAAAACACUGAAUAAUCACCAUCUGUACGAAAUAGUACAUGCACAUAUUAUUUCCAAGAUGAAAAAAGUUGGUUUGUUUACUAUAAUUAAGGAACUACCUUAUGGCCUUUGUGUAUUCCAGGAACUACCAAGGUUCCAUAUCUUCCUGUUUGAUCCAAAAUGCAUAUACACAUGAUUAUGAUGGAGAUACUAUCUGAACUUGCCAUCAGCAGGAUUGAGCAAUGUGGCACAUAAGCUUUAGCUUGCUGGUUCAGAUUAUCAGUGUUAAUCUUCUGGUCGUUGCAAUUUUUUAGACUUUUUGAGGUAGCUAAACUAAUCCAGUGUUAAGCUAUUUAGGAUUUUUUUGGAAAGGUCACCGAAAGGAUACCUUAACUUUGUUUUAUCCCCUAGAUCAAUUUUUUUUUCUGGAAAGGUUACUAAAAGGGUACCUUAACUUUCUUUCAUCCCCUAGAUCGGUUUAAGUAUGCUAAGCUCACGUUUAUUUAGAUGUAUAGCUUUGCAUGACAGACUUGUUUUAACAGAUUAUUGGGGCAUUAUGCAAUGUAUAUUCUGCAUUUAUGCUCAUCAUUAUUCUCACGUAUAUUGGCACUUGCCUUUGGGGAUAACCAGGCGCCUAUGCUUUAAGCGAACAGGAACAACGCAAGUGCUCCCUACCCCUCCUCUCAAAUUCUGCCCAAGAGCAUCCUACUUUCUCCCUGUUUGCUUAAAGUUCUUAUUUUUACUGCUUGAGGUUCAUAAAGGAAAUUUCCACGUUCAACAUUACUGUCGACGUUUAUUGAAAUUGGAUAUAAAAAAUGGUGUAAAAUGGCACAUGAAGCAGGCUGUGCCCCUUUUGUUGCCCGGUGCAACGCACGGGCAUUUGUACUAGUACCAAAAAAAUAGUUGUACUUACUAACCUAAUGGUUGAAGAACCACCCAAAUCUAUCGUAUUGAUGAAGUUUUCUACUUGGAUCAUCUUUGAUACUUUUGUGCUCGUGCUGAAAACCUAACUAGCUUAAUUGAGGGAAAAUCAUUAGAUGAGCAUGCUUAUUUUGUGCAAUACCGCUUGUCUCAAAAUGGGAAACUCUUAUGGGGUCAAAUUAAUUGUUUGCAAUGCUAUGAUUGGAAUUUAUGCGAAAUCUAUGAUUUUACUUGUUGUUCUAAAGACCCUAAAAGACACCUUCCCUACCAAUGUGAGUUUAAGGAUAAUGGAAUCUUAUCUUCUUAUGCCAAAGGUGUUUACAGUUAUUAUGAUAUUGAAAAAAUUAAAGAAUUUGUUUCUUUUAAGGGUGCCUAUUAAAUUGCUUCUUUGAUUGAAAGUAUGAUACUACUCUAUACAAAUAUUAUUUUUUUGCCAUGCUUAAAUAUUGCUAUGAAAACUAUGCUUCUAAUGCUUAUAUAUAUUAAAGAAUAUAUUGAGGACGCCUCUGCUGUUGAAGAAGAGACUAAUAUUUUGCAGGAGUCUAUGGAAGAAGAAAUAGAUGAAACUGUGAGCUCAUUACAUGAAAAAGAUGAGGAGGAAAGUGAAGAACAAUUGGAGCAAGAGCGGAUUAGCUACAUAUUUACAUGAGGAGGGAGAAUGCCGGCAGCUGGAAUUCUGGACCUGAAAAAGCUAUGUCAAAGAUACCUAUUAUGCACAUUUCUAAAUGAGAUGAAAUUUCACGGAGAUUUAUUUUGAAAUAAAUAAAAAAUAUUGGAGAAUAGAAGUACUAGAGGGGGCCACCCAGGUGCCCACGAAGCACCAGGGUGCUCCCAACCCCUAGGGCGUGCCCAGGUGGCUUUGUGGGGCCCCUAGCCAGCCUCCGGUGCCCAUCUUCUGGUAUAUAAGCCCAUUGCCCUAGAAAAAAUAAGGAGAGGACUUUCGGGACGGAGCGCCACCAUCUCGAGGUGGUACUUGGGCAGGAGCACUUUUGCUCUUCGGCAAAGCGAUUCUGCCGGGAAUACUUCCCUCCGGGAGGGGGGAAAUCGAAGCCAUCAUCAUCACCAACAACCAUCUCAUCGUGGGAGGGGCAAACUUCAUCAACAUCUUCACCAGCACCAUAUCAUCUCAAACCCUAGUUCAUCUCUUGUAUCCAAUCUUUGUAUCAAAACCUCAUAUUGGUACCUGUUGGUUGCUAGUAGUGUUGAUUACAUUUUCUAGUUGACGCUAGUUGGUUUAUUUGGUGGAAGAUUAUAUGUUCAGAUCCAU